GUCCUUGUAGCUUAAACAAAGCGUAGCACUGAAGAUGCUAAGAUGGCUGCCCCCUUUUCCCCCAAGGACA
rnacentral:tRNA from 2 species